UACGGAGGGUGCAAGCGUUGUCCGGAUUUAUUGGGUUUAAAGGGUGCGUAGGCGGCUUUGUAAGUCAGUGGUGGAAAUAUGGACAGCUCAACUGUCAAGGUGCCAUUGAUACUGCGGAGCUUGAGUACAGAUGAGGUAGGCGGAAUUGACGGUGUAGCGGUGAAAUGCUUAGAUAUCGUCAAGAACACCUAUAGCGAAGGCAGCUUACUAGGCUGUAACUGACGCUGAGGCACGAAAGUGUGGGGAUCAA
rnacentral:rRNA from 1 species